rnacentral:tRNA from 14 species
CUAUGGCCUAUUGGUCUAAGGUGUUAGGCUCAAGACCCACUGGACGAUAGUCUGUGUGGAUUCGAACCCCACUGGAUG